rnacentral:lncRNA from 1 species
GGGACUUCUUUUCGGACGAUCUGUGAGAGCAAAGCAGACAAGAUGUAGGCAGGGGACUGAUAGUUCUGGUGGCGGAAUCCACCACUGGAAGAUUUCGAACAUAGAAUAGUUGAUGAAUUUAGGAUGAUAGAGUCCGUGCCCAGCGAUUGUGUGAUCUGUUGAUUCUAAACUAAGAUUGUCGGGUGUAUUCCAUUCUGCAACGAUUCAACUGAGCGCCAGUGAAAGAAUUCUACUUCCUGAUGUAAAGAUGAUUGUCGCUUGCAAAACACGGAAAGUCUGAAUUCAUGGUGAAACUCUAGAGGUGAUGAAGAACAACAUAUAAGGAGUGUCCGGCCACACUUUCUGAUUUUAAACGUGCUUUAACAUCUACACUUCGUUCUGCAUGAGGAUCAUAACGAUCAUUUCUCGGCUUCCCUGGAGCAUUAUCAACACCGUUAGGUUUGUGUUGUUGAGAGAACUUCUGCUUCAGAGAACAACCUUUUACAAGGGCUCCACCCACUCUAUGGAAGAAGAGACUGGGGUAAAAUGGAAGGUCCACACAGGAGCGACAGAAGCAUAGACACAAAGCCUUCUCAACACAUCCUUUCCUCUUUACCCCAACAAACCCACUCAGUUUUGCCUUUGUUCACUUCUUCCAGAUGUUUUUGCAUCUGUAGUAAUCUAUUCCCUGUUGCUAUGGGAAUAAUAUACCUGACAGAGGCGUCUUGAGGCAGAAAAAGGUUUAUUUUGGUUCAUGGUUCCAUGGAGCAGAGUCCAUCAUACCAAUGAAGGCAUACAUACAGCAGAAGCAUAAUAGCAAGGCAUACAGCAGAUGCAUAAUAGCAGCUUGUCAGAUUGCAUCAGCCAUAAGGAAGAAGCCUCAGUGAUAAACGUCCUCCACUAAAGAACCCUUCUGAAAGUUUCUAUAAUUUUCCCAAACUACCAACUGGAACCAAGUGUUCAAACCCAUAUGCCUCAGGAAGACAUCUCACAUUCAAAGCACAAUGAUGUUGAACAACCCAGUAUGUCUCCUUAUGUCACUAAAGCUGCCUUGAUGACGUCAGCUUGCUUCCUGUUCAGCGAACAAAAUGAAUAUUAUCUACUCUAGUCACGGCUCCAGCCUGGUGUUCUGCCUCUAAACUUCCUCAAGUUGUUCAAGUUUGGGUAUAUCUCUAAUUCAGCGUCCGUGAGAGUGCCAUGAAAUGCACACCACUAGGUGAUGUCAUACCUCAUUAUGCCUUUGCAUCCUAAACCACUGUCAGGAUAGCCAGUGCUGUUCUGUGUGCACGGAAGCCAUCUUAACACAGAAAGGAAACUGUAAAAGGUCUUCCCCUUACAUGUCCUCUUUUGCUUGCUAUCAUGGAAGUGAUAUUUUCUGAUCAUAACUCUCAAGGUCCACCUUAUCCUCAAACCUCUGCAUUGUUUGAGGAGUCACCAUAGAGUUUCUGGUUUUUACUUUAAACCUCACAUUCUCUUUAUGUAAUAUGCUGGAUAAUUUCACAGGCAUCAGGAAUUGAAUCCCCUUCUACCAAGUCUCAUGGGUGGCUGCCCUUCACUGGGCAAGCAUAGGUAUUCAUUAAAUAUUCAUCGAAAGAUUUUUUUUAUUAACUUGUUGUGGCUUUCCCCACACUUUGGAUCCAACUCAAAUACCAGUUAAUACAUAAUCCUUUUUUU